ensembl:lncRNA
AGGGAAUAGGGCCCAUAGUAGUGCACUACAUAGGGAAUAGGGCCCAUAGUAGUGCACUACAUAGGGAAUAGGGCCCAUAGUAGUGCACUACAUAGGGAAUAGGGCCCAUAGUAGUGCACUACAUAGGUAAUAGGGCCCAUAGUAGUGCACUACAUAGGGAAUAGGGCCCAUAGUAGUGCACUACAUAGGGAAUAGGGCCCAUAGUAGUGCACUACAUAGGGAAUAGGGCCCAUAGUAGUGCACUACAUAGGGAAUAGGGUGACAUUUGGGGACAACCCCUUACACUCAACAGACAAAUCAAAAGCACGUCUCCUUGAUUUAUAUCAAAUAAAACCAAGGCUCAAAUAAAGAAGUAACGCCACAGGAGAGCGACAUCAAAGCGUAGGCCCAGUAGGCUGCUACUGGCUCCAUCUUCAGACAACACACCUGCUGUAGUCACUGGAUGUCCCAGUGAAAAGCUGCAUCUCUAAUGGGACCCUAUUCCCCAUAUGGGCCCUGGUCAUUAAUGACUUCCUAUCCCCCAUAUGGGCCCUGGUCAUUAAUGACCUCCUAUACCCCAUAUGGGCCCUGGUCAUUAAUGACUUCCUAUUCCCCCAUAUGGGCCCUGGUCAUUAAUGACUUCCUAUCCCCCCCAUAUGGGCCCUGGUCAUUAAUGACUUCCUAUCCCCCAUAUGGGCCCUGGUCAUUAAU